UCCCUGGCAGUCCAGUGGUUAGGACUUGGUACUUCUACUGCCAAGGCCUGGGUUCAAUCCCUGGUUAGGGAA